UGCAGUCGAGCGGUAGAGAGAAGCUUGCUUCUCUUGAGAGCGGCGGACGGGUGAGUAAUGCCUAGGAAUCUGCCUGGUAGUGGGGGAUAACGUCCGGAAACGGACGCUAAUACCGCAUACGUCCUACGGGAGAAAGCAGGGGACCUUCGGGCCUUGCGCUAUCAGAUGAGCCUAGGUCGGAUUAGCUAGUUGGUGGGGUAAUGGCUCACCAAGGCGACGAUCCGUAACUGGUCUGAGAGGAUGAUCAGUCACACUGGAACUGAGACACGGUCCAGACUCCUACGGGAGGCAGCAGUGGGGAAUAUUGGACAAUGGGCGAAAGCCUGAUCCAGCCAUGCCGCGUGUGUGAAGAAGGUCUUCGGAUUGUAAAGCACUUUAAGUUGGGAGGAAGGGCAGUAAAUUAAUACUUUGCUGUUUUGACGUUACCGACAGAAUAAGCACCGGCUAACUCUGUGCCAGCAGCCGCGGUAAUACAGAGGGUGCAAGCGUUAAUCGGAAUUACUGGGCGUAAAGCGCGCGUAGGUGGUUCGUUAAGUUGGAUGUGAAAUCCCCGGGCUCAACCUGGGAACUGCAUUCAAAACUGACGAGCUAGAGUAUGGUAGAGGGUGGUGGAAUUUCCUGUGUAGCGGUGAAAUGCGUAGAUAUAGGAAGGAACACCAGUGGCGAAAGCGACCACCUGGACUGAUACUGACACUGAGUGCGAAAGCGUGGGGAGCAAACAGGAUUAGAUACCCUGGUAGUCCACGCCGUAACGAUGUCAACUAGCCCGUUGG
rnacentral:rRNA from 1 species